GACGAACGCUGGCGGCGUGCUUAACACAUGCAAGUCGAACGGAAAGGCCCUGCUUUUGUGGGGUGCUCGAGUGGCGAACGGGUGAGUAACACGUGAGUAACCUGCCCUUGACUUUGGGAUAACUUCAGGAAACUGGGGCUAAUACCGGAUAGGAGCUCCUGCUGCAUGGUGGGGGUUGGAAAGUUUCGGCGGUUGGGGAUGGACUCGCGGCUUAUCAGCUUGUUGGUGGGGUAGUGGCUUACCAAGGCUUUGACGGGUAGCCGGCCUGAGAGGGUGACCGGCCACAUUGGGACUGAGAUACGGCACAGACUCCUACGGGAGGCAGCAGUGGAGAAUAGUGCACAAUGGGCGGAAGCCUGAUGCAGCAACGCCGCGUGCGGGAUGACGGCCUUCGGGUUGUAAACCGCUUUCGCCUGUGACGAAGCGUGAGUGACGGUAAUGGGUAAAGAAGCACCGGCUAACUACGUG
rnacentral:rRNA from 1 species